rnacentral:misc_RNA from 1 species
AACGCACCUUGCGCCCUCUGGUAUUCCGGAGGGCAUGCCUGUUUGAGUGUCAUUAUAUUCUCAACUUCAUUAGUUUUUAAUGACUGAUUGAAGCUUGGAUGUGGGGGUUUUGCUGGCGUCUUAGAUGUUUCGGCUCCCCUUAAAUGCAUUAGUAGGAACCCGUUUGUUGGCGUCCAUAGUGUGAUAAUUAUCUACGCUAUUGGUUAGUUCAACAGGCUCUAAUGAAGUUGGUACCAUUUUCUUCAGAACACUUCAUUGUGUAUCUGGCGUGGGUUCUGCACUUGUGCUUUACCUGGGUAUUAGGUUUUGCGUUAGCUUUACCUGAUUUUUCAUUAGAGUAGGAACUCUGCUUUCUAACCGUCUACUGUAGUGGACAACAUUUGACAACUUGACCUCAAAUCAGGUAGGACUACCCGCUGAACUUAA